AUUGAACGCUGGCGGCAGGCCUAACACAUGCAAGUCGAGCGGAUGAAGGGAGCUUGCUCCUGGAUUCAGCGGCGGACGGGUGAGUAAUGCCUAGGAAUCUGCCUGGUAGUGGGGGAUAACGUCCGGAAACGGGCGCUAAUACCGCAUACGUCCUGAGGGAGAAAGUGGGGGAUCUUCGGACCUCACGCUAUCAGAUGAGCCUAGGUCGGAUUAGCUAGUUGGUGGGGUAAAGGCCUACCAAGGCGACGAUCCGUAACUGGUCUGAGAGGAUGAUCAGUCACACUGGAACUGAGACACGGUCCAGACUCCUACGGGAGGCAGCAGUAGGGAAUAUUGGGCAAUGGGCGAAAGCCUGAUCCAGCCAUGCCGCGUGUGUGAAGAAGGUCUUCGGAUUGUAAAACACUUUAAGUUGGGAGGAAGAGCAGUAAGUUAAUACCUGGCUGUUUUGACGUUACCAACAGAAUAAGCACCGGCUAACUUCGUG
rnacentral:rRNA from 1 species